UACAGAGGAGCCAAGCGUUGUCCGGAUUGACUGGGCGUAAAGCGCACGCAGGCGGAUACGCGCGUGGGGUGUGAAAUCUGGCCGCUUAACGGCCAGGCGCCAUCCCAUACGGCGUGUCUGGAGCUGUGCAGAGGUCGGUGGAAUUGCCGGUGUAGUGGUGAAAUGCGUAGAGAUCGGCAGGAACACCCAGGGGGAAACCAGCCGACUGGGCACAUGCUGACGCUGAGGCGCGAAGGCGUGGGGAGCGAACGGG
rnacentral:rRNA from 1 species